UGUUCUUCUGAUGCUUCUUCCAGCAACAAACCUUCUUAUAUCCUGUGAUUGCCACAUUUGCUAUUAAAGAUGCAACAUGUUUUCUCCAUGAAGACAGAAGACAUCCCUGCAGCUCCAGUCUUGAUUUACUGGUUGUAGAGGUCCCUACUAGGUGCUGAUCCACCAUCUGGUCCGGAUACGUACUGGAUCCAGGUGAUUGCAGUGACCAUCUGACCUGGAUACAGACUGGAUCUGGUGGUUACAGUGACUUUACGGCAAUUUAAACUGACAGAGUGUGUCUGCCAUCCAAACAAUGUUAGCCUGUAUACUGCACAUGUGUCAGUGAUGCCUAACGCAUUAGUUCUCAUGUGCAACUCGUCGUCUUCAGCCUGCUUUUGUGU
ensembl:lncRNA